AAUGAUGGUGUCGGUCGUGCUGUGCUGUGCCGCUGCGGUGGUAGACGACUGUGUUGUCUCCAGAACCGAACAAUGUCUGCGAGGGUGGAGCGUGAUGUUGCUACUCGUUACCGGUCGUUAGCAGACAAAAAAUUGCACAAAUGCUCAAGACAUGCAUGACGGCCAGAAUAUUGUGUUUUUCCGACGAUGAGUGAGAAGAAAAUGAACAGACGAAUAAAGGAUAUGGAGACCUUACAGUUGAUGAUUUUAAUUCAACCAGAAAAUCCUUAGAAACUUAAUAAUGUCUAAUUUACAUACACUUAAUUCGAUACAAUUUUGCUAAGCAAGAAUCUAAUUUCUAUAACACAGAGGGCCUCAACAUAUUUAAAUUGCACGACUAGUAAAUCGCAUCUAAGAGAAAAUUAUAUUUCUCCAACGAUGAGUUUGAAGAAAAUGAACAGACAAAUAAAGGAUUUGGAGACGUUACAGUUGAUUAAUUUAAUUCACCCAGACAAUCCUUAAAAACUUAAUAAUGCCUAAUUCACAUACACUUAUUUCAUUCAGUGGAUUAUACUUAUAUUUUCCAAACUGAAAUAUACGAUGUACCACAUACAAGCAACUAGGAAGUCGAUCAAAUAUCCUGACAAUUUUUCAGACGUUGACUUUCAUGAAGAUAAUUCUACCGACUUCGAUGAAGCCAUACAAUAUUGGAGCGAAUUAUGAAAC